rnacentral:rRNA from 1 species
UGGGGAAUUUUGCACAAUGGGGGAAACCCUGAUGCAGCGACGCCGCGUGAUUUAGAAGGCCUUCGGGUUGUAAAAAUCUUUUCUAUGGGAAGAAAAUGACAGUACCAUAGGAAUAAGGACCGGCUAAUUACGUGCCAGCAGCCGCGGUAAUACGUAAGGUCCGAGCGUUGUCCGGAAUCAUUGGGCGUAAAGGGUACGUAGGCGGGUAAGCAAGUUAGAAGUGAAAUCCUAUAGCUCAACUAUAGUAAGCUUUUAAAACUGCUCAUCUUGAGGUAUGGAAGGGAAAGUGGAAUUCCUAGUGUAGCGGUGAAAUGCGCAGAUAUUAGGAAGAAUACCGGUGGCGAAGGCAACUUUCUGGCCAUAACCUGACGCUGAGGUACGAAAGCGUGGGUAGCAAACAGG